AUUGAACGCUGGCGGCAUGCCUUACACAUGCAAGUCGAACGGUAAUAGGUUAAGCUGACGAGUGGCGAGCGGGUGAGUAAUGCAUCGGAACGUGCCCGAUCGUGGGGGAUAACGCAGCGAAAGCUGCGCCAAUACCGCAUACGAUCUGAGGAUGAAAGCGGGGGACCGUAAGGCCUCGCGCGAUCGGAGCGGCCGGUGUCAGGUUAGGUAGUUGGUGGGGUAAAGGCCCACCCAGCCGACGAGCCGUAGUCGGUCUGAGAGGACGAGCAGCCACACUGGGACGGAGACAAGGCCCAGACUCCUACGGGAGGCAGCAGUGGGGAAUUUUGGACAAUGGGCGAAAGCCUGAUCCAGCAAUGCCGCGUGCAGGAAGAAGGCCUUCGGGUUGUAAACUGCUUUUGUACGGAGCGAAAAGGUCCUUUCUAAUACAAGGGGCUCAUGACGGUACCGUAAGAAUAAGCACCGGCUAACUACGUGCCAGCAGCCGCGGUAACAC
rnacentral:rRNA from 1 species